CGCUGGCGGCAUGCCUAACACAUGCAAGUCGAACGGUAACAGGUCUUCGGAUGCUGACGAGUGGCGCACGGGUGAGUAACGCGUGGAUAUCUGCCUAUGAGUGGGGGACAACUUUCGGAAACGAAAGCUAAUACCGCAUAAUCUCUACGGAGCAAAGCAGGGGACCUUUCGGGGCCUUGUGCUUAUAGAUGAGUCCGCGUCAGAUUAGCUAGUUGGUGGGGUAAGAGCCUACCAAGGCGAUGAUCUGUAGCUGGUUUGAGAGGAUGAUCAGUCACACUGGAACUGAGACACGGUCCAGACUCCUACGGGAGGCAGCAGUGGGGAAUUUUGCACAAUGGGCGCAAGCCUGAUGCAGCGAUGCCGCGUGUGGGAAGAAGGCCUUUGGGUUGUAAACCACUUUCAAUUGGGAAGAAGGGAUGAGUAUUAAUAAUACUCUGACUUGACGGUACCUUUAGAAGAAGCACCGGCUAAUUUCGUGCCAGCAGCCGCGGUAAUACGAAAGGUGCAAGCGUUGUUCGGAUUUACUGGGCGUAAAGAGAUCGUAGGUGGUUUGUUAAGUUAGAUGUGAAAUCCCGGGGCUCAACCUCGGAACUGCAUCUAAAACUGGCAGACUUGAGUUCGGGAGGGGUAAGCGGAAUUCCGUGUGUAGCAGUGAAAUGCGUAGAUAUACGGAGGAACACCUGAGGCGAAGGCGGCUUACUGGACCGAUACUGACACUGAGGAUCGAAAGCGUGGGUAGCAAACAGGAUUAGAUACCCUGGUAGUCCACGCCCUAAACGAUGUCAACUAGCCGUUGCGGGUAUCGACCCCUGCAGUGGCGCAGCUAACGCGAUAAGUUGACCGCCUGGGGAGUAC
rnacentral:rRNA from 1 species